rnacentral:misc_RNA from 1 species
GAAUUGGGUAAGGUGAAGGAGUAAGCCAGACAGACUGAAUAAUCUCUGCAACUGCAAGUUACAGCAGCUUGACGCUUCACUACGGUGAUCAAGAAUUAAAAGCCCAUUUCAACCUCACCUCUAUAUGUAUAGAAAUGACCAAAUAAACACAAACCAAAAACCAUAUGCACCCAACCCAGAAGGGGUGGCUCCUCCUAUCAAUCCAGAUCAUUCUCCUCAUUGCCCUUAGCUCAUUUUCUCUCUCUUCAGCCACCAUCGCCACCAUUUACCCUCUCUAUAAACUGCCCACCACCAUAUCAAAAUUCCCGACAAGAAACUCUCUGGGCUUGAAUUCUUGAGGUUAUAGCUAACCUCACUUUUCAUUUUGAAGCAAUCAAUGAUAAACUGGCGAAC